UAUUUAAGAAAUAUAGGCCUACUCAAAGCCCAAAUCAUUGAUAUCAUACCCUAUCCAAUAAUAAAGAAAUUUGAAUUUGAAUGGUAACAAUUCCGUUAAAUCCUCGUCCUCGUUUUGAACGUCUCACUCAUGGCAGAUCAGUGUGUUCUUUCUGAUUAGCUCUUAAUUGAGAUCACCUGUCACGCACCCCUUUAUUAAAGGUGAAAACAAUGGGUUUGGUUUACUUUUCGCAUCGGCCUCUGUCAAUCGAGGUUGAGUUUAGUGAGGGUUGAAAGUUUUCGAUCUAGAUUGCAGAUCACUAUUGUCACUUUAUACAAACUGUAAGUAUGCAUUGUUGCGUGUUUGUUUUUGUGGGCAUUUGACUGAACAGCCCAGACAAAUAUUGCUACCAACAUGGCACUUCGAAACAGACCACCGCAGUGUUAGAUGACUGACAAGAUCUAUGGGGGGGCCCCCUUUGGGCCCCCCCAUACCAACUUAGUCUUCAAAGGAAUCUAGUGCCAUGGGACUCCAGUGUCUUCAAAUCAUCCUCGGAAUACAUGUGUAUGAAUGGUCCACCGAAGGGUUGAUCUGGAAGCCACCACGGUCCACGCAGUAAUCUGCUGCGUGGGCCGUAGUGGCUUCCAGAGCCAUCUUUCGGUCUUGGUCAGGAUUUGUUACAGUUGCCCUUCAAUGUAGCAGGCUACGGGUUUCUGAAGAAGCCUGCUUUACGUAGCAUUGGAGUACAAAUAUUGUGCAAAAUGCUCAUGUAAUUGCACUAGCACUAGUAACCUGUAGAUUAGCUUAGUUUAACGUCAUUCCGUGCUGUCUCUGUCAAAUGUGUGGCUUACUUUAAGUCCACAAGGCCCUCUGGUAAACCACGUUGGAACACCCCUGGACAAGGUGAUUAGUCACUGGGUGUGUGCUAAAGUUUUGUUCCAUUUUUCACUAGUUGGUUAAGGUUUGGUAGAAUUGUUUGGAUGCUAGCGACGUGAUGGCGUAUGUACAAGAGCCUACCGUGGCCAGGCCACAGUUGCGACGGCCACGGCCAGAUGGCCUAGUGUGAGUGCAACCUUGAUUGCAUUUGUAUACUGUUUACCAUUGGAUGUUUAUGCAAUUUGGCUUAAUUCAUCCGCAGUAAAGCUGCAUUUGAAUAUUCCAGGGUCGUUUUGUACAGGCUUUCAAUUGACCAUGUUGACUAGUUUGUGGGAAUUAUUAUUUAUUUUUUUACCUUUGCUUUCAAUCCAACGGUUGUGACCACUUAUGCAACUGGGCUGUGAACCUUGCAAUUCUAGUUGCAUAUUUGUACACGCAAGCUUGUCCAUUUCUAUCGCCAUCACUAACACUAGGUUCAGCAUUUCCUUGUAGGCCAUUAGCUGACUUGUGUAUUGGAGCGAUGAUUUGGGUAUUUUAAGAUGCUUGAAAACCUAAAAUAAAGCAAAAUGCGUGUCUGGUGUGCAAGAGCCAAUUUGUUGGCUUGCAGUAGUCGAGGAGUUGCCGUAGGUCGUAAGCCAUCUGGAGGUUGUGGCAAUGGAGGCUUGUGGUAGAUCUGCCAUCCAAGAAAGGUUAAUUCUUCUGAAGCAUGAUUAAUAGUUUAGUAAAUUGAAUCUAUUCAUAUAGAACUAUAAAAUCCAAGACUGCAGCCAGUAACUUGGAUCGCAAUAUGUGGAAAGUAUUAGUGUUAAAAUAAUUAACAUGACUAACUGGGUUUCUUCCAUUUUCUAACUAGGGGGACUUGACUGGUGAGUCUACUGGAUAAUCAGUAGCGGUACUUUGCCCAACAGAUUUGAUGGCAUGACUACAGGGUGACAAAGACAAUUAUUCCCUGCCUAUCAAAAGAGACUUCUAAAACAUAUCUGCUAGAACGGUUCCUAUACUUUUUGUAUAAUUUGGUCAUGCUGCAAAUUUACUUUUUGUAGUUGCUCCAUAUUUAGUUCUUUGACAGCCUCACCUGCUAGAAAAGUCUAUUCAAAUCGGCUAAAUAUAAUGAACUAAAUUAAUAGCCAUGAAAUGUUGUCACUCAUACUAAUGGCAAAUACCCUCUUUCAGUUGGUGGUUCAACACUGAUGUCUCUCUAGGCUUGAGGGAGAGCUCACAAGUAAAUUACACAAAUGUCCUGGAGCAAUUGGGAAUACACUUUUAUUUAGUCUACCUGACCAGGGACAUCUUUGAACUAUAGGUCACCUAACCCAAACUUUUCACUCUUGUUAGGUUGUCCUUUUCUCUUGUUUCAACCCGAAAGGGCUGAAAUAUCAACAUUUCAGGUAUUCUGUUUGGAUAAUGUGCAAAACUUGUGGCUUCACUAAUAAAAAAAAUUAACAAAUG